AUUCCUACGGGAGGCAGCAGUGGGGAAUUUUGGACAAUGGGGGAAACCCUGAUCCAGCAAUGCCGCGUGUGCGAAGAAGGCCUUCGGGUUGUAAAGCACUUUUGUCAGGGAAGAAAUCCUUUGGGCUAAUACCCUAGGGGGAUGACGGUACCUGAAGAAUAAGCACCGGCUAACUACGUGCCAGCAGCCGCGGUAAUACGUAGGGUGCAAGCGUUAAUCGGAAUUACUGGGCGUAAAGCGUGCGCAGGCGGUUGUGUAAGACAGGUGUGAAAUCCCCGGGCUUAACCUGGGAAUUGCAUUUGUGACUGCACGACUAGAGUGUGUCAGAGGGGGGUGGAAUUCCACGUGUAGCAGUGAAAUGCGUAGAUAUGUGGAGGAACACCGAUGGCGAAGGCAGCCCCCUGGGAUAACACUGACGCUCAUGCACGAAAGCGUGGGGAGCAAACAGGAUUAGAUACCCUGGUAGUCCACGCCCUAAACGAUGUCAACUAGUUGUUGGGGAUUUACUUCCUUGGUAACGUAGCUAACGCGUGAAGUUGACCGCCUGGGGAGUACGGCCGCAAGGUUAAAACUCAAAGGAAUUGACGGAAU
rnacentral:rRNA from 1 species